rnacentral:rRNA from 1 species
AACGCUGGCGGCGUGCCUAAUACAUGCAAGUCGAGCGGACAGAUGGGAGCUUGCUCCCUGAUGUUAGCGGCGGACGGGUGAGUAACACGUGGGUAACCUGCCUGUAAGACUGGGAUAACUCCGGGAAACCGGGGCUAAUACCGGAUGCUUGUUUGAACCGCAUGGUUCAAACAUAAAAGGUGGCUUCGGCUACCACUUACAGAUGGACCCGCGGCGCAUUAGCUAGUUGGUGAGGUAACGGCUCACCAAGGCAACGAUGCGUAGCCGACCUGAGAGGGUGAUCGGCCACACUGGGACUGAGACACGGCCCAGACUCCUACGGGAGGCAGCAGUAGGGAAUCUUCCGCAAUGGACGAAAGUCUGACGGAGCAACGCCGCGUGAGUGAUGAAGGUUUUCGGAUCGUAAAGCUCUGUUGUUAGGGAAGAACAAGUGCCGUUCAAAUAGGGCGGCACCUUGACGGUACCUAACCAGAAAGCCACGGCUAACUACGUGCCAGCAGCCGCGGUAAUACGUAGGUGGCAAGCGUUGUCCGGAAUUAUUGGGCGUAAAGGGCUCGCAGGCGGUUUCUUAAGUCUGAUGUGAAAGCCCCCGGCUCAACCGGGGAGGGUCAUUGGAAACUGGGGAACUUGAGUGCAGAAGAGGAGAGUGGAAUUCCACGUGUAGCGGUGAAAUGCGUAGAGAUGUG